rnacentral:rRNA from 1 species
UACGUGAGGGGCGAACGUUGUUCGGUGUCACUGGGCUUAAAGGGCGCGUAGGUGGUUGCGUAAGUAACGUGUGAAAUCCCUCGGCUUACCCGGGGAAUUGCAUGUUAUACUGCGUGGCUUGAGGAUCUCAGGGGAAAGGGGAACUCCAGGUGUAGCGGUGAAAUGCGCAGAUAUCUGGGGGAAGGCCGGCGGCGAAGGCGCCUUUCUGGGAGAUUCCUAACACUGAGACGCGAAAGCGUGGGGAGCGAACAGG